AAACGCGUGCAGCUUGCAUGCCUGCAGGUCGACGAUUAGAGUUUGAUCCUGGCUCAGAUUGAACGCUGGCGGCAGGCCUAACACAUGCAAGUCGAGCGGUAGAGAGAAGCUUGCUUCUCUUGAGAGCGGCGGACGGGUGAGUAAUGCCUAGGAAUCUGCCUGGUAGUGGGGGAUAACGUUCGGAAACGGACGCUAAUACCGCAUACGUCCUACGGGAGAAAGCAGGGGACCUUCGGGCCUUGCGCUAUCAGAUGAGCCUAGGUCGGAUUAGCUAGUUGGUGGGGUAAUGGCUCACCAAGGCGACGAUCCGUAACUGGUCUGAGAGGAUGAUCAGUCACACUGGAACUGAGACACGGUCCAGACUCCUACGGGAGGCAGCAGUGGGGAAUAUUGGACAAUGGGCGAAAGCCUGAUCCAGCCAUGCCGCGUGUGUGAAGAAGGUCUUCGGAUUGUAAAGCACUUUAAGUUGGGAGGAAGGGUUGUAGAUUAAUACUCUGCAAUUUUGACGUUACCGACAGAAUAAGCACCGGCUAACUCUGUGCCAGCAGCCGCGGUAAUACAGAGGGUGCAAGCGUUAAUCGGAAUUACUGGGCGUAAAGCGCGCGUAGGUGGUUAGUUAAGUUGGAUGUGAAAUCCCCGGGCUCAACCUGGGAACUGCAUUCAAAACUGACUGGCUAGAGUAUGGUAGAGGGUGGUGGAAUUUCCUGUGUAGCGGUGAAAUGCGUAGAUAUAGGAAGGAACACCAGUGGCGAAGGCGACCACCUGGACUGAUACUGACACUGAGGUGCGAAAGCGUGGGGAGCAAACAGGAUUAGAUACCCUGGUAGUCCACGCCGUAAACGAUGUCAACUAGCCGUUGGGAGCCUUGAGCUCUUAGUGGCGCAGCUAACGCAUUAAGUUGACCGCCUGGGGAGUACGGCCGCAAGGUUAAAACUCAAAUGAAUUGACGGAAU
rnacentral:rRNA from 1 species